GUAUACAACCAUAUCAAGUUGAAAGCACCGGUUCUCGUCCGAUCAACCUCGAACCUAGUUAGUACUUAGAUGGGUGACCGCGUGGGAAACCUAGGUGCUGUAAAAA
rnacentral:rRNA from 1 species